GACACUUUAACUACGAAGCUAAUUAGGUCUGUGCGUGAUGAUUAAACGGUGUAAGGGGUGUAGCGUUAACAUUAAACCUAACACAGGCACUCGUAUAACCAGCUUGGGAAAUGCAAACCGAAGGACCCUUCCUUGUAAAGACAUACGCAGUGUCUGACCAUGUGUAAAGAAAUGUGCCCCAAACAACUUCUCCGAAGGAGAUAUGGGAUGGGUGCCCACGGUCGUCCGACAAUGGAGCAGUGUAACAACACAGUAUAACCGUCUACGCUAUAUGGAGAAUCACCGAGUUACACAUAGAAUCUGGCUCUGGUCCCAGCGUUGGAGUACACGCAGAAAACAACAACUGGACGACAAGAGUGCACGGAAUGUUAACCAGUCUUAAUCUAUACCACCACUUCGUCCCUCUUGAGAAUAGAUACUGUCCGAAGUUCGUUGUCCGUGAAGUAUCCUCGAAAAUGUACCAAGAUUUCCAUGGAAAAGGGAAAUGUGAGUUAGCAAGCCCACAUGGAAGAAAUGUUGGGGGUAAUAAGUUACGCAACUACAACAGAUUUAAACUUUCUUGUGAAGCAGAAGCUUACGUUUUAUCCAAUAUGCCUCGUCAUUUUAAAAGUGCUCUUGCUAAAUUCAGGUGUGGAGUUGCGCCACUGAAGAUAGAAACCGGUCGAUACACAAAUAUAGGGGAGACCGGAGUCAAUAUUGUAACAAGGGCGAUUACUCUAAAGGUUUUCGCUCAAGCAUGGUGUAGGUGAGUAGAGUUAUUUCCCUUUGCUUUCCUGCGGUACACACCCAGGCGUUUUUCAGCUGCUCGCUCAUGGCGAGAUACAGUUGACGAAAAAUUGUUUUUCACAUAGGUAGGUAAAUUUUUCACAAAACGUAAUUAAACGUUCUUAAUGCAGUAAAUGUUGCUUGGUAUGAAAUUAACUGUUCAAGUGUAAAAUUGAGGUAGAAAUAUUUGAGAAGCCCAAAGUUGUUAACAUGUGACGUGGCAUGAAAUAUGACUGCUACCAUCGGGGGCAACUGUAACAAUGUGUUACAAUUGCCCCCUUGUAAUUUCCCCUUGUGUUAUGAUAAUGAAAAACAAAUUAUGAUGAAAGUUUUCUGUUAGUUCUGUACUAAUUUUAUCAUAGUAGAACAUUUUCAGUGUGAUGUUGAUAGUAUUAGCCCUCGGGUGACAGUUUUUGGUGUUAUACUUUGUAUUAUAUUUUGGGCGUACCAAUACAAGAAUUUUAAACCAAAACAUCUUAAAUGUCGACGGUGACAAAGGUUAAAUUGAUCAAGAUAACCUCUUUCCACAUUUUAUCUUGAUUUUAUUUCGAAAAUAAACGGAUUGUUACAUUUGAACCUUCUUUGUUACAAUUGCCCCAUCCGCCUGUUACAAUUGCCCCGUGCUAGGGAUCAAUUGUAACACUUGCAGUCAUUGCAUUUGAUACGUAAUAACUUUGUAACGACAUGAUAGUGAACUUUAAAUGACACCGAUGUUUAAAACCAAGAUGCCAAUGUACUAGUUAAUACCGAUUAACUUUGUGAGCAGUCGACUAUUAUCGAAUUACAAGAAGUUAAGUAAAAAGUGUUACAAUUGACCCCGGUCUCCCCUACCAUUAGAGGAGAGAAUUUGUUUUAACUGCAAAGAUCAAAUAGUAGAUGAAUGUCACGUUUUACAGAAGUGCCCUCUUUAUGCAAAUAAGCGAUCACAGCUUCUCUCGAUGUGGUCGAAGA